rfam:Pteropus alecto contig102667, whole genome shotgun sequence.
UCUAUAUCUUAAAAAAAUGGCUUUCAAAUGUCUUUCUGCAGUGUUUCAGGAACACAAGUUAGAUG